CAGCCGCCGCGGUAAUACGGAGGGGGCUAGCGUUGUUCGGAAUUACUGGGCGUAAAGCGCACGUAGGCGGCUUUGUAAGUCAGAGGUGAAAGCCUGGAGCUCAACUCCAGAAUUGCCUUUGAGACUGCAUCGCUUGAACGUCGGAGAGGUGAGUGGAAUUCCGAGUGUAGAGGUGAAAUUCGUAGAUAUUCGGAAGAACACCAGUGGCGAAGGCGGCUCACUGGACGACUGUUGACGCUGAGGUGCGAAAGCGUGGGGAGCAAACAGGAUUAGAUACCCCUGUAGUCCCUGUCUCUUAUAC
rnacentral:rRNA from 1 species